rnacentral:rRNA from 1 species
GAUGAACGCUGGCGGCGUGCCUAAUACAUGCAAGUCGAGCGAACGGACGAGAAGCUUGCUUCUCUGAUGUUAGCGGCGGACGGGUGAGUAACACGUGGAUAACCUACCUAUAAGACUGGGAUAACUUCGGGAAACCGGAGCUAAUACCGGAUAAUAUUUUGAACCGCAUGGUUCAAAAGUGAAAGACGGUUUUGCUGUCACUUAUAGAUGGAUCCGCGCUGCAUUAGCUAGUUGGUAAGGUAACGGCUUACCAAGGCAACGAUGCAUAGCCGACCUGAGAGGGUGAUCGGCCACACUGGAACUGAGACACGGUCCAGACUCCUACGGGAGGCAGCAGUAGGGAAUCUUCCGCAAUGGGCGAAAGCCUGACGGAGCAACGCCGCGUGAGUGAUGAAGGUCUUCGGAUCGUAAAACUCUGUUAUUAGGGAAGAACAUAUGUGUAAGUAACUGUGCACAUCUUGACGGUACCUAAUCAGAGAGCCACGGCUAACUACGUG